rnacentral:snRNA from 1 species
UUUUUUCCUCGGCCUUUUGGCUAAGAUCAAGUGUAGUAUCUGCUCUUUUUUUAUCUGAAAUAAGGGAAUGUCCAAGUCCUUCUGCACAGUUCCCCUCCGCACUACAUUAU